GCAAAGUCAAAAACAAAAUAUAAAAUAAACAAAUGAGAGACCGUGUAGGAUAGUAGAAAGUGUGUUGCAUAAAAUAAAUGACCCAAUAAAAAACAAACACAAACAAAAAAUGUGAAGGUAGUAAAAAUGGAGUGUAUCAAGUAAAAUGUACAACCCAAGCAAAAAGUCACUACGACUCCAACUCCUCCAUCUGCGCGUGACACGACAACAACGACACCAAGUGCAGUCUUCACCGGCGACACCAGUCACCACCAGAGGCUUCGCCAGCUCCCCGACGCCUUAUUGGGUCUGGCCAUGUCUUUUCCGAUAUGUCUGGAAACAGGGUAAUGUCU
rnacentral:lncRNA from 1 species